AUGCCCCGAUGAUACCAGAAUGCUUCAGAGUGCUGUCCGCUAGAACUUUCUGCAAUAAAGCGUUGUUGGGCAUCAGCUCAAUGUCUGGUCAUCUGUCUGCAUUUGGUUAUCUGGCCACAGAGUGAUGGAUCCAUCCUCUGAGGGCCAGACACAGAGACAGACACCCACGACACAGCAGCAAGUAAGACAAAAUAAGAUGAAAGCUGAAUUAUGAUUCUCUGAAACAUAAUGAGCGUCGCAGGUGGCCCAGGUCUGUAUUCUGACGCUGCCUGUGGAUCAGGCAAGAUCACGCCUCUCGGUGUCUUUGCCAGUGCCGGGGC